UACUGAGGGUGCAAGCGUUAAUCGGAAUUACUGGGCGUAAAGCGAGUGUAGGCGGCUAUUUAAGUCGGAUGUGAAAUCCCCGGGCUCAACCUGGGAAUUGCAUUCGAUACUGGAUAGCUAGAGUUUGGUAGAGGUAAGUGGAAUUCCGGGUGUAGCGGUGAAAUGCGUAGAUAUCCGGAGGAACAUCAGUGGCGAAGGCGGCUUACUGGACCAAAACUGACGCUGAGGCUCGAAAGCGUGGGGAGCAAACAGGAUUAGAUACCCCCGUA
rnacentral:rRNA from 1 species